ensembl:lncRNA
AAUAAAACAAAAUUAUGGAUAAAGGCAGAAAUUCUUUUACUAAUAAAAAUAAUAUAUUUUCGAACGCGUUACAAUUAUUACAUAUAAAAAAAAAAGUUUAUGAUACAUAUGAGAAGGUGAAGGAGAAAGAGGAUAGGGAUGAAGGUGAAAAAGAAAAAAAGAUAAACAAGAAAAACAAUAGAGGGGGUGAAUCAAGUGAUCAUAAGGUGGAGAAUGCAUUAGUUACUGCAAAAAGCGUUAUUUUAUUUCAACUAUUUAUUUUUUUUAUCUAUUUUUUUGUAUUACUUGUUGGGUCUUUUAACUUUAAUUUUAAGCUGUCUCAAGCAAAGGAAAAACAUUUAUAUGAGUAUAUGAAUAGCAUAAAUCAUAUGUCAACAAUAUGUGAAUAUAAAUCAUAUUACAAACAGAGCAUUAUAUAUAAUAAUAAUAACAAUAAUAAUAAUAAUAAUAAUAAUAAUAAAAAUGUGGUGUAUAAAAACACGAAUAAAUUAAUUAAUAAUAAUGAUAGUUUCAUUCCUAAUUUAAAUUUCAAAUAUUAUUUUACGAAAGGAAAGCAUUAUAAAAACGGUAGACAAAAAGCGAAAAAGAAGAAAAACGAUAAUAAAGAGUGUAACAAUAGUAGCACUUGUUCUAGUAGUGACGAAAGCAAUGACGAAAGCAGUAAUAGCAACAUAAAGAUAUUUAUUUGUUUAAAUAAACAAAAAGAUCUGCUUAACUAUGAUAUAAAUACAUAUAAUAUUUUACAAACGUGUAAGAAAUAUGUAAUAAGAAUGAUAAAUUUUGCUUACAACGAAAUAAAAAAUGCGUUUUUUUCCAAAAAAGGAAAUAAUAGUAAUAUUACUUUGUUAGAUAAUAAUGAUUUAAAAAAAGCUAGUUCUUUAUACAAUUAUAAUGAAGAGAUAUUUAAAUUCUUUUAUUAUAAUUCAUUAUUAAAUAAAAAAAAUAGUUAUAAUAAAUAUUAUGUUCUUGAACAAUUGUUUUAUCACUAUUUAGAUGACAUUUGUUAUUAUCAUGAUUUUAGGUAUUAUAAAAAUGUCAUAAAUGAAAAAGAUGUAAAACAAGAAAAAAAAAAAACAGACAUUUUGGAUGAUAAGAAAAAUUAUACAUUGAAGCUAAACCAACAAAUAAGUUAUAUAAAUAAUAAAAAAGCAUUAAAAGAAACACAAAAACUCAACAAAGAAGACAUUGCUUUUUUAAUUAAUCACGUGUAUAAAUACCUAAAUGAUAAGCAACUAUUUAAUAUUUUACAUAAGUUAUAUUUUGAUAUAUGUACAAAAGACGUAAUAUUAAAAAAUCAUGAAAAGAAUGUUAUAGGUGUAAAAAAAAGAGAAUCUGUAUUAAUUAACAGUGUCAAUAACAACAAACAAAACAUGAACAAAAAUGACGAUGAUAAUAUAAAAAAUUCUUUUUUACUAAAUGGUAUAUCAAUAAGCUACGAGAAGUACUACGACCUGUACCAUAUGUAUGAAAAUGUACAAAAUGUUAAUUUUUAUGCAAUUUUUAUUAACAAAUUAAGAAAGAAAAUAAAAACGAUUGAAACAUUAAAAAGAUUAAACAACUGCAUAAAAAAUUAUAUAAAAAAUUUAAAAAAUAUACCUAUUUAUUUUUUUUUGGAUGACUUUCUUGAUACCCCUUGUUAUAUAUAUAAUACACUUAUAAGUAAUAUAUUACGAUAUUAUUAUAAUGGUAUAUUUCUUUAUCUUAUAAUAUUUAUAGGUUGUAUUCAUGUGUUUUUUUCUCCAUUUCCAAUUACGUUAGUACAUUUUCGUCGUUUUUUUAUAUAUUUUAUUAUUAUUAUGUAUAGGGUAUUCAUUUGGUACUUUAUUCCAUCAAUAAUUCAAUAUAUUAUAUAUAAAUGUCAUUAUUUCAAAGAAGAAAAAGAAUAUAAACAUAUUUUUGAUUAUUCAGAUCAUGUCAUUUUAUUUGCUACAUUAUUAUUUAUUAUUACUCUUGAAGCAAAAGCAAUUAAACAUACAAUAAAACAUCAGACGAGUGGUUCAGAAAACUUCCAUUAUAAAUAUAAUAAAAAACUAUGUUCUUUUUUUUUAACAAUUAUAUUAUAUUAUUAUUACAUGCUUAUAUCCUUAUUUUUAUAUACUAGUUAUUAUACAGCCAAAUAUUUUCAUACAACUAAUGAAAUUUUUGUUGCAUACUUUUUUUCGACAUUCUCCAUUUUCUUUUUAUUCUACUAUUUUUUAUAUCGAAACUAUUUUAGUUUUUAUAGCAUAGGUAUUACAUCUCAAAUGAAUAAUAGUACUAACACUUCGUCUAAUUCUAUGAACUCUACUUCGUAUAUGUAUAACUCCUAUAAUUCUUUAAAGUGACAGUCAGAUGUUUUUGUGCGUGUGUUUGUGUUCAUAUGCAUUAAGCGAAAAUGUGCUUCGUCACUCUUUCGUAUAUGCAUAUGUAUAUAUAUAUAUCAUUUUUGUGUACAUAUGUGUCUAAUAUUUUUAUACAUGUU